rnacentral:lncRNA from 1 species
UCCACCCUGCAGACCGGGCCACAGAGGCAGCUUCUCCGGGGCCGCUUGGCUCUGAGGAGUGGGGUGACCAGAAGAUUCUGGGUCUACUGGAUUUUGAAAAAAGGCAGACAGCAGAGUGAGACGGAGACAGUCUGGAGAGCCAGCCAGCAGAACUCUGCACAGCUGUAUUCUCCACCUCCCACCUUGCGCCCUGCUGUCCCCGGGGUCGUGGACCAGCAGAGGGUGGGCAGGAGACCGCAUUCACAGUGUGGCUCCUCACUGUCAUCCCAGAGUCUCCCCUCACGAGCACCCCGGCUGCAGGGUGUAACCUGAGGCCCUAGCAGGGCCCAUGGAGCUUCUGCUGCUUUUCCCCGGGGGCCCUGAUGUGACAUUUCUCGUCCAGGAAGAGGAUGGAAGAUGAUAAAUUGAGCCACGCAGAGGAGAGGUAACUCCCUCCUGUCCUCAGAGUGUCCCGAAGACCCUCCUUUGCCUGGUGAGUGACAUACUAGAGCCCGCACGGUGACAGCUCAGGUAUGUGGCACCCCUCGGACCCACCCCUCCCUGGGUGGAGUGGCCCAGCUGUGGUGGGCACUUCCUCACCCAGCCGUGGGCACAGGCCAGACCCUGAGCCCAGCGGCCCUGUAAUUUCAGAUGUAGCUGGGCAUGUGUGUGUUAUUGGGUGAUACUUAAAUCCUAACCUUUUCAAAAGCAAACCCAAGUAAGCACAUAUUGGAGAACCAUAAUUCCAAGCUUGGAGGCCUCCCUCAAGGCGAUGGGGAGUGUGGCAUCGUGACCGCUAACCCGGUCCCUCCGCGGCCUUGGGUUUAAAAGCGUCUGUGUCCAGCCGGGAGGUGAACUCCUGACAGCAACGCCCGUCCAGCCCACACCUCUGCCUGGCAGUGUGCAGCAGGACCCCUGAAGCCCAAGUCGAGAGCAGCGCCUGGUCUCCACCCGAGACUGGGUGGCGGAGAAGCGCUGCCUCUGACCUCAGUGAGCAUGGAGAGGCGGUGACAGGUUUGGACAGUAGAGAUUUCAGCAAUUUCUGGAAGGUCUGAACAGGACCUGCCUCGGAAGCAGAAUCGGAUUCCGCUGACUGGGACAACGUCACGUGACAGCGAGUCCAGCGCCCGGGGCCUGGGAGAACAAAGGCGGCUGACCCGUCACAGGAGCUGCACGGCAAUGCAUCUGAGACCAUGCGGUGUCACCUUCACAGAAGUGCUCUGGCACAGAGACUCCAGCCUUGCCGGCCUCUCGCCUCCCAAGCACAGAAGCCUCCAGAACGCUGCUUCAAGGACAAGCCCAGGAGACCUGCCAUGCUCAUGCGUGUCUUUGGAAACAGGUUCUCUAAAUUUUGCUUGUGGUUUGUUAAAAAAAAAAAAAAAAUCAGAAGUGUAAUCAAAGACUUCAACAAACGAAGCACCAAAACACUUCAGCUUUGAAAUGUAGAAUUGCAAUGACUGGAAACACGGCUCGCAAAGCAAAAGACAUUAAAAUUCAGUCAUCCCUACAGAAGCCGGACAGGAAUUGAUCACAUCCACUAGUGAAGGCUCAGAAAGUGACAAGAUUUCAUUUGGAAAUCGUACCUGUGUCCUUGGGAACAUCCUGAACCUUGGGAAGCAUCAGCUCAUGGAGUUCCUAUUAACUGGAUAAAUUUAUAUUCUAGAUUGAAAUGGAAUGGAAUUAAGUAGGCCCACGGUUUUGCAGCACGUACAUUUGAAGAAUCAUUAAAAAUCAUCAUAGAAACAAUUUAUUUGACGAGAUUUGUCUUGUACAAAUAUUUGUUAAAUAUUUGUACUCCGAACGGAGGCCAAAAGACAGCACCUGUGGGAAACUUUAGGCUGAAAUAUUUACACAUUUCAACGCAAAAUGUCAGAACUGAGAAUCUGCCGUGUGCUCACAAGGUACCCCAACCCUGCAGAGAGAGACAAUUUUCUUGAUCCAAAUGUCAUCAUCUACCCAGAAGUGUCCAUGGACAGCACAGAUUCACAUUCUGGGGCCGUUAAAAUGUGAAUGUGAGCUAUCAAUGGACACUUCUGGGUAGAUCAUGACCUUUGGAUUAAUUAAGAUUGAUCCAGGCCCGGCGCAGUGGCUCAUGCCUGUAAUCCCAACACUUUGGGAGGCCGAGGUGGGCAUAUCACUAGAGGUCGGGAGUUCGAGUCCAGCCUGGCCAAUUUGGUAAAAACUGUCUCUACUGAAAAUACAAAAAUUAGCUGGGCACGGUGGCAGGUGCCUUUAAUCCCAGCUGCUUGGGAGGCUGAGGCAUGAGAAUCGCUUGAACCCAGGAGGAAGAGGUUGCCGUGAGCCAAGAUUGCGCCACUGCACUCUAGCCUGGGUGACAGAGUGAGACUCCAUCUCAAAACAAACAAACAAACAAACAACCCAAAAAAUUAGC